rnacentral:lncRNA from 1 species
CUAAAUUUUAAAAAUCUUUCACUUUAUUUGGUCAUCUUUCUUUCUUUGUAUUGCAUUUUCAUAAUAUAUCUUAAAGGUAUCAUCCAUUAAUCAGAUAUGGUGGGGAUUUAAUCACCCUUCUUUAAUCCACAAAUCAUUUUUUUGCAUCUACAUAACCUAACACUUAAAUAAAAUUAAUUACACGCCAGCCCUAGGGACA